GGAUCUUGAACUUUUAGCUCCUCUUCAACUUGCCCCAGUUGAGAGUGUUUAAAUAUCAACCUAUUUCCAGGGACAUGGAAAAUAUUAAGGAAUGCAUUCUCAGACUUGUCCUGGUGUGGGCUUCAUGGCAAUGGAUUGAGAUCUGAGGGUCCUGGCUUCGUCUUGAAGGCAGACCCACAAAACUAUGUGCUGCGAUAUGAAGAGAAAUGCCAUUGUUCUUACUGGAUGAUUUCCUAUCAGAGCCCAUCAGGGGGUCCAGGCAUUUACAGUGAAGCCCAGUAAUUGUACUAUCUUGCUUGGUGGGUCCUGCCCCUCAACCUUCUUCUGCUCUACUCUCCAGCUCAAGGAAUGGCAUCAUUGUUUCCUAACUGACCAGGUUCCAUUUUGUGAGCAAGCUGGCUCUCCAGCCACAAUCUUCCUGCCUCACAACUCCAGGUUCGGAGUAGCUGGCAGAGUACUGAAACCGACUCCGAGUAGACCAAGCUUCAUCCGUGCGUUCACCUCUGAAACAAAUACAUGACUGUUGAGUGGGUGCUCCCCUCACUGAAUGCUCGGUCAGAUGCUCACUGUUGGAUUCCAGCAAAGAGAAUCACUAAGAUCACGUAAAGUGUAGUGUCUCCAAAGAAACUAGGGAAUGUUGCUGGAAGAAGAGGCAGAAAAUGCUGAGAAAAAUGUGCUUAUGGUAGUGUCUGUUUAGGCAUUUAUGGGAUGCCAACUUUACUCAAGAUGUUUUUGGAACUCUUGUCUUUGUAUGGAAAGCAUAUGAAUCACUCCACCAAAAAUAGUAUUAUUAUUCUAUAUUCCUAGUACAUCUUCUACUGAGCAAGGAUUUAUGAAAUUUAAUUAGCCAUCUCACUUGUUAGCCCCACUGUGACUGACUUUUAACUAGUUCCCAAACAGAAAUAAUCUAUGCAGGAAGAGUUUGCUCAUGUUGAGAGUAUUCACAAGAGCAUAGCUGAUAUUCUCAUGUCAAUUCCAGAAGCUUAAGUCUGAAGAUAUUCUGGGAAAAUAUCAGCACCUUUGGCAAAAAUGUGUAAUAUUUCAUGUUGACUGCCCUGAAAGAGUCUACCCUAAUUUGGAGACAGACAGACAGAUAGAUAGAUAGCCUUGUCUAUUUGGGUACAAAAUAUCCCUCUAGAGCAGUAUGGUUACAAGUAUAGGCUUUGGAGCUUGAUUACCUGGGCUUGAAUCCCAGGUUAGCUACUGUGUGAUACUCUCUACCUCAAAAUUUUCAUGUAAAGUAAUAAAAAUAAUAAUUAUAAUA
rnacentral:lncRNA from 1 species